ensembl:lncRNA
GUGCGUUCAAUGUCACUGGGGUUUUCAUCAUUGAAUUGAACACGAUCAUAGCUGUGCACUGGUGUUAUUCUAUUGAUUAGUGUCAACAUGACAGCGGUGUCCCACUAUUCUCAUGUCUUUAUUGAUCACAUAGUGUCAGAAUCAGGGCUGUAUCCUGGUGGACACUAAAUGCAUUUUAUCCAUUGGUCUAAUUCAUGAAGCGUCGUCAGUCUGACUACUGUAACUCUCUCCUGCAGGUCUCCUGCUACCACCAUUCCACCUCUGCAGCUCAUCCACAAUGCAGCAGCUCCACUGCUCUUUAACCUUCCUAAGUCCUCUAAACAUGGUGCUCACGUACCGUGCUGUGAAUGGAUGGGGUCCAGCUUACAUCCAGGACCUGGUCCAACCCGACAUCCCGACCCGCACUCUCCGCUCUGCAUGUGAUAAACUGCUUGUUCCUCCUCACUGAGAGCAAAACACUCGACUAGAUCUCCACUCUUUGCUGUCCUGCUCCUAAAUGGUGGAAGGAGGUCUCUGAAGACAUCAGGACCACAGAGAGCCUUCACAUCUUCAGACUAAAGACACACCUCUUCAGACUCUACCUCCACUAACACACUAACUAACUGUAGCACUUACAUUGGACUUAUAAUGGUUCUUAUCUACAGCAAGUUGUAAAGCGGCUUAUUAGCGUCAGCUAAUUGACAUGUGAUGUAAUGAAGGUGUGAAGGUGUGGACUCUGCUAUGAAUCAGGCUGAGGACCCAGAGGACGGAGUCCCUCCCUCUAAAGCCCCUCUGUGUGGGGAACAUGACAGCCAGACCAAAGCUCAGAGGACCCAUCAGAGACCAGGACCUGGACCUGGACCCAGCUGUGUGUCCAUGAAGAGUGAUCGGUCUAAAGGUCGACUGACUUCAAAGAUGGACGUGGUUCUUAUGAGCCUCACUAAGCUCUUGAACAGAAGAACCAGAUGAAGAACAUGAUGAUUGGUUGUAUUGUAACAUUAAGUGAAUAUGGAUUGAUGUCAGUGAGGGAUUUCACAUUCGUUUGUGGUGUGAAAACAUGGCAGGUCUCCCUGCUCGAUGUCGCACCGUCUCAUUCAUUCACUUGGCUCAUGACGUCCACCUGAAUGUUCCUCUUUGGCUAAAAAGUGCCCUAAAUCGCUUGAGACAGAGUCAGAGCCUCCAGCCACCAACCUCACCGCACGUCACUGCCAGCAGCUCUGUGAAAGGUCCAACGUCUAGUUUCAGAAGAUCUAAGGAGACUUCUACAGAAGCUGGAGGAAUUACAGUUUGUGUUCUACAUUCAGUCACAUCUUACUGUGUGCAAGCAGGCUGCUUUACUGGCUGUUCUUACCCACAAUCCUUUGCACAGCAGGUAUAUGAGCCAGAGGGUUCAAGGUGCCAUGUGAUGAGGAAGUAGAACACUGCAUGUAACAACAUGUCCUUUGUGAUUUGGCAGGCAGCUUCAGACUGAUACGUGGGGAAGUUGUUCCGCCCCAACAGGUUCAACCUGAUCAUCAACACCACCGCGUGAGGACGUGAGGACACACCCUCUCUGAUGAAGGACAACAAGCUCUAACAAGCUGCAACACUUCACUCCGUCUGAUGGAAGCUGAAGUGAAGCACGGAGCUCCUUUUCUACACGGACCUGCUGAGGACAGAAGAGAGCUUCUCACUGAGGAAGUUCAUGUCUACAAGCUCAGUUGUUGUGAAGGUGUGAAGGUGUGGACUCUGCUAUGAAUCAGGCUGAGGACCCAGAGGACGGAGUCCCUCCCUCUGAAGCCCCUCUGUGUGGGGAACAUGACAGCCAGACCAAAGCUCAGAGGAUCCAUCAGAGACCAGGACCUGGACCUGGACCCAGCUGUGUGUCUAUGAAGAGUAACUGGUCUAUGGAGCUUCCUAUAGAAUUCAAAGAUGUUGGUCCCUCUGUUGAUGCAAGGUGAGGGUCUCAGGCUGAUGAUGAGGUGUUUCUACCAGACUCUCUGGUGGAGGUUCUGGGUUUCUUGCUCCAGGGCCCUUCAGCAGUGUCCAGUGAGGGAGGGAGAGCUCCAUGGAGGACUUGGUGAGACCUGUUGGGACUAAACCAAACUGACUGGUGAAGAAAACAGUGAGCUGAAAGACUGAGGUGUUGAUUCUCAGUGGGACCAGCAGGACCAGUAGACCUGAACCACUACAGGGAGUCAUGUGGUCAUCAU